AAUGUAUAGUUUUUUGCUGUCAUAAUCAUACUAAUUGAUUGCUUUAUCCUAUUAUUGCCAAAAGGCCAUCGAAUCUACACCUCAUUGCUGCUCUGAUAUAUAAGUAUUGUUUCACCCUGUCAAAAUGGUUAGUACCUAUCCCCAACGAGUAUAUAAUUAUAUUACUGAUGCAACUUGGUGCAUAUGGUACAAAAUGAGUUGAGAAAUUUUAAACUAGUACAAAUAAAAUUUUGCUAAGUAGAACUUAUGUAAUACUUAUUUUGUUUACAAUUUCAGCCUUGCUUAUGUUGCUCUACUGACAACCUGAUAUAUAAUCUUUGCAGUCUGGCUCAUCAAAGAGUUCCACUGGUGACAGUGAACCUGUUAACAAUGCAACUGAUACACAAGGUGUAAAUUUAAACAGCGCAGCUGCUUCACAGGCUUACUCAUCACAAAUUGCUGGGAGUAGCACUCGAGCAUGUAAGUCAAGGACACAAACCAAAUGGCCAGAGGACAAGGUGACUGCAACUAGACUUGAUGAACAAGGUUGGCCUACCCCAGAUGCUGCAAGGGAAAGAUUCGUAUUGGUCUGUGGCCUCAUUGCUCGGGAGAGGGUGUCAAUCAAUGUCACGGUUGAGGAUCUCACACCAGAAAUGAGGAGAGAUAUGUUCACUGUUUUGGAGGAAAAGCUAGAGUACCCAGCCAAUCUGUCCACAGCUGCUCGCAAUAAGGCAAUUAAGUCGGCUAUGAAAGAGAUUGCACUUUUGCAACGGCGAUUCAAGGCCCAUUUAAGAGCAGAUUUUGUGAGGCAAGAUGAGCUUCCCUUUGAGAAGCACCCCUUUUUGAAGCCAGAAGACUAGGAGCAGUUUGUAGAGACAACCAGAUCUCCAUUGUUCGAGCAUGUGAGCCAGGAGAUGAAAGAGAAGAGAGCCAAACACAAUAAGCCACACAAGAUGGGAAGAAAAGAUUAUUAUGGUUAAAGGAAAGAUUGGGAGUUGGAGGAUGAAAAGCUAGCUGCAGAAGGAAAGGAGAACCCUUGGGAGCAAUAUCCUGGCCGUUCUAGGCCAUAUCUGCAGGCAAGGUCAGGGCCGACCAUUAGUGCAAGCGGGGACAUAACAUUCACUUCCCCUCUAGUGGCAGACAUAGCAGAUAAAGUGAAAAGAAUUGCAGCUCAAGCUAGUGAUGGUUCUUUCACUGGGAUUAGGGAGAAUGAUGUUCUUACUGAGGCACUUGAGAAUCCAGAGCAUCGAGGUCGGGUGUGAGGUGUCUCUAGUUCACUUGGCUGGGGUAAAGGGUUUGGCCCAGAAUGUGCUGAAAUGUAUAGGAAGAAGAAGAAGAAGAGGAGGUCUGAUGCAGACAAGGAAGAGAUAGUUGGUGAAGAAUUCAAUAGAGUUAUGGAGUUGCUGAGAGUUGCAUGUGUGCCCAUACCGGAUGGUCUGUGCCUCACCCAAAGUGUACAUAAUAGAUCUUCUGACAACAUAGCUGAGGAGGAUGUGCCCAUUAACAAGGGGCAAAAUGAUGGUCCACCUCAGCCGGACACAAUAGAUCUGCUGACAGAGCCAACUAAGUGCAGUCUUCUGGAUGGCAGCGAGUAUGACAUGGAGCUCGCAUUAGGCACUGUCUAUCCAAAUCAACAGACUUGCCAUACAGUACCGGUAUAGAAUGGGUAUGCAGUGGUGCAACCUACUUAUGUGUGGCCCAAUGCGAGGCACAUCAAACUGCCUAUCCCAGUAGAGUAUGAGAUCACAACCCUAGCUGAUUCUCUCUUGCAACGCAUAUAGUGGCCAAGACGGAGAAUCCUUAUCCCACCCAGGUCUAGAGAUCCAAACUCUGCAGCACCAUCAGCUGGUAAUACAGCUUCCGAUGCAGCUACUUUAGCUCUGCGUCAGCAAAAGCAACAUCAGCAGGACCUGCAGCUCAGACAGUAGCUGGAUAGCCAAACUCUGCCCCAGCAUCCGCUAAUCCAAACUGAGCCCUGCAGCAUCCGCUCAUCCAAAUUGAGCCCCAGCAGCGUCCGCUCAUCCAAACUGAGCCCCAGCAUAAGCAGCUCAACCAAUCUCCACAGCAGCACAUCGAACAUGAGCCUAAAAAUAUGGAAGUUGGCGCUGUUUGGACUAUGGCUAAUCUAAAAUACAAGCCGGGUGAGCCUAUGUUGUCAGAAAAGGCUUUAAAGUCUGCUGGGCCAUGUUGUCAAGCAUUGCAUGCUUACAUCAUGAAACAAAGUGGAAAUGGUGCUAUUGACAUUCCUGCAAAGGUGGCUGCAUCCUACUUUCAUACUGAGGAUGAUUUAAAAUUGGCAGUUGGAUUCAAUGACUUGUAUGACCUUUACAACCUGGAUAGUCUGGACAUGAGCUUGUUGAGGUGCUGGACAUUGAAAAUGAUGAAACAGGCAGAGGAGAUGCACUGUAAUGUUGGGUUUUUGGACCCACAGAUAUUCUCAGCCACACUCGUUCAAUACAAGUCCAAAGAUGUGAUAACAGCAAUUAAAAGGGCUAUGAAUGACGACUACGUGGUGGGUGCCUACAACACUGGUAGCCACUGGGUACUAGUGAUCAUUGCUAUGAAGUGGAAUGUUGUUUGGUAUUUGGAUUCUGCUAAAAGUUUUCCAUUGCGAAAGUUCAAGGAUGUAGUAACUAUUGUGAACUGGGCCUAUUCAGAGCACAUGGAGACAAAGAUGAAAAAAAUUCAAAAACCAAACAAAAACCAAACCUAAACUCACGCACAAGACAGAUAUUAAGUGCGCUCAACAGCCGUCGGGUAGCUUGUCGUGUGGAUUCUAUGUUGCACUGAACAUGUACGACCUACUCGGUGACAUAAAUGUCAUUAAAAAGACUUCUGGUUACAAAGCUACCCAAGAAGUAGAUCAAGGAGCACUAAGGAUGGUCCAGCGGAUGCUCUGCGAUUUCAUUCUUAAGGAGAUCAUCGACCCAAAGGGCAGCUUCCAUGAUGAGCCAGCACAUGCCACGUGAGUUCAUUCUAAAUGCUCUGAAACAGUGAACUUUGGAACUUGGAACUUGGAACUUGUAACCUGUAAAUUUAAACUUGCAGUCAUAAACCUUGUAACUUGUAACCUGUAACUUUAAUUCUUGAUGUGUACUUGUGUAGAUAACUUUCAUUCUUGA